GUCCAGGUGGCGAAACUGGUAGACGCGCUAGCUUGAGGGGCUAGUGGGAGUAAUCCCUUGGAGGUUCAAGUCCUCUCCUGGACA
rnacentral:tRNA from 1 species